UACGUAGGGUGCAAGCGUUAAUCGGAAUUACUGGGCGUAAAGCGUGCGUAGGCGGUUUUGUAAGUCUGUCGUGAAAGCCCCGGGCUCAACCUGGGAAUUGCGAUGGAGACUGCAAGGCUUGAAUCUGGCAGAGGGGGGUAGAAUUCCACGUGUAGCAGUGAAAUGCGUAGAGAUGUGGAGGAACACCGAUGGCGAAGGCAGCCCCCUGGGCCGACACUGACGCUCAUGCACGAAAGCGUGGGGAGCAAACAGG
rnacentral:rRNA from 1 species